UGUAUUGAGCAGGGAGUGGUCCCUUCUUGCAGGUUUUCCGAGUGGAAGGUUGGAUGGACUUUUCGUGUGCUCUGGGUGGCAGCUGUCAGUCAGUCAAGUGUAAAGUCAAGGCGGCGGAAUAGCGUGAGCUCCAGUGUCGAGAGCAAACCCUUUCCUAACAAUCUUCGCCGAAGUCGCAACCACUAUUUCCAUUAGGCGAUUUGAUCGCAGGACGAGAGAGGAGCUGAUGGACGAUCUCUCCAAUGUUCCACUUGGUUCGGAGCGGCGCCGAGUGCUGACGUUGGGACUUGGCCGGUGUGUGCACACCGCUAGCUAAACCGACCAACGGCUACUCCCAGGGCACAAACUAUUCUGCUGGAGGCAGCGUCGUCUUCGGCUGAAAUUCCGGAUACAACCUGCAGGGAAGCAUUGUGCGCAUCUGCCAGAUUGACGGUUCCUGGAGUGGGGCAGCUGCCUCAUGUAAUCCCAUUCAACUGCAGUGCCAGUCUGGCUACCUGCCCUGCCUGCGUUCCAGCCUGUGGCUGUAUCCUGCCAUCACAGCGCUGCGACGGUGUUUGGUACGACUGUGCUGAUGGCUCUGAUGCACAGUACUGCCCAGGCAAGGUCACACCAGCUCCAGGUCAAACCGACUGCCAGGUCCUGUCACCACCGGCACUGGGCUCAAUGACCGUGAACGGCUUGAUGUUCAGCAACACGACCACGUUUGUGUGCAGUCUCCCUAUGUCCUUAUGGGCUCGGCCGUGUGUACUUGUGAAAUCAACGGCCAGUGGAGCGGUGUGCAGCCAACUUGCGUCCUGACGACUGCUGCUCUGAGUGCGGCCAGUGACGAGCUAGUCAAGGACUCCGUCUCAGAACGCAUGACACAAACGUGUUAGCUCCUGCUCCAUGCCCAUUGUUGGAGCGACAGUCCUGGAAUCCAGAGUUGCAAGUGAGGUGGUGAUACGGCAAGCAGACGGUGGCAAAGUACGGCUUAAAAGCUCUACAUCUGGCAAGUGGCCGGCAUACCACCCCAAUGGACAUCGGAACAGUACACGUAGAGUAGCAUCUCUACGUGACAGGGUAUGAGCGCAAGCCAGUAUUGCCAAGCACUGGGGACCUUUGGCAAUCUGAAGAAUGUUUUGUCCGAGAAUCGAUCCUUGGAUCUGUGGCGUUGCAGUUGUGGUGCUCCCGACCCUCUUGCGUGAUGGCCGCGGAGACCUAGCGAAAAGGUUCGAGACAUACGGCAUCUCAAUAUCUUCCACCACAAUCAGUACAUCAGCACCACCAUCGAGUGUAGCGACAUCAGCAAUAGAAGACGCACAUGAUAUCAUCCACCCUUACGGCCUUAGCGAAGACCCGGGAAUACCUGAGAAGAUGUUAGCCGCAACUUUACUGGAAAAGUCGUCGGUGACAACGGCACUCCAUAUUUUAGCUGCAUGCAGUUAGGUCUCUCAACAAGUGUACCCAAAGUUUUCAAGCUAAUACACAAGCAAAUUCACUAGGGGCCGAGUAUAUUUUCCUACACCUCUCCCUGUUUGUUGUUGUUAUUUCUGCAUUCAAAUUGUUUGUGUACCUGUACAUUUAUUACAGUAGAGCCACGCAUCCACAGCUGUUGUUUCCAAGGGGUCAGGCUCGUCAGUUAUACAAAACCUUUCAGCAAUCUGGCCUUAGGCUUAGUUCCUUGACUUCUUGUACCACUUUCUUAGAUGCACAUCCCACUGGAUAGUGAGCAAUACGUGUGUAGCAGAAUCUGUAUUCCAGAAAAG